UGAGGAAUAUUGGUCAAUGGACGCAAGUCUGAACCAGCCAAGUAGCGUGCAGGAUGACGGCCCUAUGGGUUGUAAACUGCUUUUAUAUGGGGAUUAAGUGGGGAACGUGUUCCCUUUUGCAGGUACCAUAUGAAUAAGGACCGGCUAAUUCCGUGCCAGCAGCCGCGGUAAUACGGAAGGUUCGGGCGUUAUCCGGAUUUAUUGGGUUUAAAGGGAGCGUAGGCCGUUUGGUAAGCGUGUUGUGAAAUGUAGGAGCUCAACUUCUAGAUUGCAGCGCGAACUGUCAGACUUGAGUGCGCACAACGUAGGCGGAAUUCAUGGUGUAGCGGUGAAAUGCUUAGAUAUCAUGAAGAACUCCGAUUGCGAAGGCAGCUUACGGGAGCGCAACUGACGCUGAAGCUCGAAGGUGCGGGUAUCGAACAGG
rnacentral:rRNA from 1 species